rnacentral:rRNA from 1 species
CCGCGUGAGUGAUGAAGGCCUUAGGGUUGUAAAGCUCUUUCGCCGAGGACGAUAAUGACGGUACUCGGAUAAGAAGCCCCGGCUAACUUCGUGC